GCCUGCACCCCAGUAUAUGGAAGUUCCCAGGCCAGAGACUGAAUCUGAGCCACACCUGCAGCAACGAUGGAUCUGCUAAACUGCUGCACCAGGCAGGGGAUGGAACCCGCACCUCUGAGCCCCUGCUUUGGCUGCUCAGCCCUGCAGGCCUCCCCGUAACUGGCACAUGGUAAUCCCAGCUCAGGUCCCCUGUCAUGGAAAGGGAUGGCAGUGCAGUUUUUGUCCCAGACAGCAGCACAGAGGGGCUGGAAGAAUCAACAAAAGAGUCCUGCCCUCUGGAUUCCAGGGGAAUAUUCCAACCAGUCAGAGUCCUCCUGGGGCUGAAGGUUUUCCCAGGGGUGGCUGCAAGGACUAACUCUAGUGCAGGACCCAGGGUCCCGCCUGUCACUUCUUCCCUUCUGCCCUCCAGUCACCCUUCUCCAGCUUUGGGAGCAGGUAGCAAGUCCCCUCCACUCCAGGGCUUUCAGCAGGAUGGCCCUGGGCUGUCAGAUCGGGUUAGGCCAGAGGAGGGUGGGUGGGAAGGAACCCUUCUCAGUGGUCCACCCCUUGGGUGGGCAUCUCAAGAUAAGCCAUCCCUCCAGCUCCUCCAUGAGGAUGAUCUGGCUUCCGCCUCUUCCUCCAGCCACACAUUUGCAUGAAGAGUUGGGAGACUGGAUAUGGGGGAGGGAGACAAAAGAGCCCUGAGACUUGAGACCUGGGGGUUGGUGCCAAUUUAAAUUCUGCCUCAGGCAGAGCAGGCUUGGAACAAGGAAUGUGUAUCUGAACACCUGCUGCAUGCUGGGCAUUGUGCCAGGCCCUUUGCAUAGAUCCUCAUCUAAUCCUCACCGUAAUUUAGGAGGUACACAAUCUAGGCCCAUUUUACAGAUGAAAAAAAGAAGAUUCAGUGAGUUUAACUUAAUUGCCCAGAGUUACACAGCCACCUGAGGGAAGUAGCCCUGGUUUUAUUGGAGGCAUUGUCCUUUCAGACUGAGGGUCCCUCAGCAAAAGCUCCUGGGGACUAUGAAUGCCUAAGGCUGGACCAGGAGGUGCAGCCUGAGGAAAUGUGUGUGGAAGGCUGGCUUGGGGAGUAAGGCAGCUCUGUCACAGACUGGCUGGGGCUCUGGGUGCCCCAGCAGCCAAUGGGGAGCUAUGGAAGAGAUUUGCACAGGUCCCCUCGUUCCCCCACCUGCAGUUAGUAAGGGUCCCCAAGCCUAAGAUUCUGGCGUGGAUGAAGGCUACUUCCCAGCUGAUGCACUUGAAAAAAGUCCCUGCCUCUACCAUGGGCCGCAGAAUGCUGUGUAAUUUCCUCUGUGGGUCAGUCCUCCACCAAGUGCGAUGACAGGGCCAUGAGUCAGGUUCAGCCCAUCACUGCCAAGCCACCACAGCUGCCAGCUGCUCCCUGCCUUCUCCCAUCUCUGCUCCAUCCAGCAUAGGAGAGGAGGGGCUACUCCAGGGACGGUCAGGCAGGCAUCCACUGUGGGCCACACCAGACCCAGAGCACGUCAGGAGUCGGGAGGAGUUCUGGGGUAUGGAUGGUGUGACCGUGUCUGACCCAAGUGGGUCAGCCUCAAGCUUCCACGUCAGGAAUCGAGGUGCCCCAGCAAGCUGUUUGGACUGGGCCUGACCACCCCUACUCAACUCCCAAGUAAGAACAUUCUCCACCUUCCUCUUAAGCUCAGGAGUCCUGCGGAGGAAUUUGCUCCUCGCAGAAAAGGACACUUCCAAGCUCCUUUUUUGGCUCAUAGUAAUGAAUACAACUAGGACCCAUGAGGAUACAGGGUUUGAUCUCUGACCUCACUCAGUGCGUAAGGAUCCGGCAUUGCUAUGAGUUGUGGUGUAGGUCACAGAUGAGGCUCAGAUCCUGUGUUGCUGUGGCUGUGGUGUAGGCUGGUGGUUGCAGCUCCAAUUUGACCCCUAGCCUGGGAACUUCCAUAUGCUUUGGGUAUAGCCCUAAAAAGACAAAUAUAUAAAUAAAAAUAAAAAUUUUUUAAAAAUCAGUGGUUACUUCAGCUGCCUUUAAGGAAUUCACACAUAGCCAAGGCCUUGAAACUCAAGAACUUUUGAGUUUUGGAAAAUAAGAAGGAAAAUUUUUGGACUCUUUGUUCUGAGCU
rnacentral:lncRNA from 1 species